UUGAACGCUGGCGGCAAUGCCUUACACAUGCAAGUCGAACGACGCUAGGGGCAACUCUAGCGAGUGGCGAACGGGUGAGUAAUACAUCGGAACGUGUCCUGUCGUGGGGGGAUAACCAGUCGAAAGACUGGCUACCGCAUGACCUCGUAAGAGAAAAGCGGGGGACCGCAAGGGGCCUCGCGCGACUGGAGCGGCCGAUGUCGGAUUAGGCUUAGGUUGGCGGGGGUAACGGCCCACCAAGGCGACGAUCCGUAGCUGGUUUGAGAGAACGACCCAGCCACACUGGGACUGAGACACGGCCAGACUCCUACGGGAGGCAGCAGUGGGGAAUUUUGGACAAUGGGGGCAACCCUGAUCCAGCCAUGCCGCGUGUGUGUGAAGAAGGCCUUCGGGUUGGUAAAGCACUUUCGGCCGGAACGAAAUCGCCCGUGGUUAACAGCGCGGGUGGAUGACGGUACCGGAAAGAAGAAAGCACCGGCUAACUACGUGCCAGCAGCCGCGGUAAUACGUAGGGUUGCGAGCGUUAAUCGGAAUUACUGGGCGUAAUAGGGUGCUGCAGGCCGUCCCGCAUGUCGGGCGUGUGAAAUCCCCGGGCUUAACCUGGGAAUGGCGUCCCGAAACUAUGGGACUGGAGUGUGGCAAGGGAGGUGGAAUUCCACGUGUAGCGGUGGAAAUGCGUAGAGAUGUGGAGGAACACCGAUGGCGAAGGCAGCCCUCCUGGGCCAACACUGACGCUCAUGCACGAAAGCGUGGGAGCAAAACAGGGAUUAGAUACCCUGGUAGUCCACGCCCUAAACGAUGAUGACUAGUUGUUGGAGGAGUUAAAUCCUUUAGUAACGCAGCCAACGCGCGAAGUCAUCCGCCUGGGGAGUACGGUCGCAAGAUUAAAACUCAAAGGAAUUGACGGGGGGGCCCGCACAAGCGGUGGAUGAUGUGGUUUAAUUCGGACGCAACGCGAAAAACCUUACCUACCCUUGACAUGUGAGGAACGCUGCAGGAGAUGCAGCGGUGCCCGAAAGGGAACCUCAACACAGGUUGCUGAUGGCCUGUCGUCCAGCUCGUGUCGUGAGAUGUUGGGUUAAAGUCCCGCAACGAGCGCAACCCUUGCCAUUAGUUGCCACAUCAGUUGAGCACUCUAAUGGGACUGCGCCGGUUGACAAACCGGAGGAAGGUGGGGAUGACGUCAAGUCCUCAUGGCCCUUAUGGGUAGGGCAAACACACGUCAUACAAUGGCGCGUAACAGAGGGUUGCCAACCCGCGAGGGGGGAGCCAAUCCCAGAAAGCGCGUCGUAGUCCGGAUUGAAGUCUGCAACUCGACUUCAUGAAGUCGGAAUCGCUAGUAAUCGCAGAUCAGCAUGCUGCGGUGAAUACGUUACCGGGCCUUGUACACACCGCCCGUCACACACCAUGGGAGUGGGGUUUCACCAGAAGCAGGUGGCCUAACCGCAAGGAGGGCGCCUACCACGGUGAGCUUCAUGACUGAGGGUG
rnacentral:rRNA from 1 species